AACGAACGCUGGCGGCAUGCCUAACACAUGCAAGUCGAACGAGACCUUCGGGUCUAGUGGCGCACGGGUGCGUAACGCGUGGGAACCUGCCCUUAGGUUCGGAAUAACUCCCCGAAAGGGGUGCUGAUACCGGAUAAUGUCUUCGGACCAAAGAUUUAUCGCCUUUGGAUGGGCCCGCGUUGGAUUAGCUAGUUGGUAGGGUAAAAGCCUACCAAGGCGACGAUCCAUAGCUGGUCUGAGAGGAUGAUCAGCCACACUGGGACUGAGACACGGCCCAGACUCCUACGGGAGGCAGCAGUGGGGAAUAUUGGACAAUGGGCGAAAGCCUGAUCCAGCAAUGCCGCGUGAGUGAUGAAGGCCUUAGGGUUGUAAAGCUCUUUUACCCGGGAUGAUAAUGACAGUACCGGGAGAAUAAGCUCCGGCUAACUCCGU
rnacentral:rRNA from 1 species